GAAGUAUCAUUCCUUGAUUCAGGAUCAGGCUCAAGAGUUAACCCACCUACGGCAGAAGAUGAAGCUUGGGAGAGUGGCCUCUGCUCUUCUCAUCCAGCAUGUCAAGAACACACUAAAGACCUUUGAGGAGCUACUCCAGAGCAAUAACAUUGACCACUAUAUGGAGCAGCACUACUGCGAGCAGCUGGCCAAAGGAAGCCAGCUGGCAGAGAGCCUUGCCAGAAAAUUCAGCACAGAUGACUGUACAAGUAAGAAGAAUCAAGUAGGACAGGUGUCUUCGACUCUCAGGUACUGCACAGUCCACUGUAGCCCCUCAUUCAUAUACUCAGAGUCACUCUUCUGGCUGUGGCGAGGACAUCCUGUGACAUGAUGCCUAGAGAGUCUGGAAGAAUGUUCUCCAGAACUUUUCCAGCCCUAUCCAACAGAAUUCUUGGGUGGGAACUUGGAGGCACUGGAUAUUAUCUUUAAAUGAAGAGAUCAAAU
rnacentral:lncRNA from 1 species